GGGGAUGCCCGGAUUAGACGGCUAUAUGAUUAUAUUUAUGGCAAGUAGGUUUUGACAGCCUUAAAUGUUCUAAAACUAAAUUACAUGCAAAUGUAUUUAAUAGACAGCCAGCUUUAGCUUACGCUUAAGCACUGUCUCUAAUGUCAUUCAUUUUUGGGUGGCCAUCACGCAGGAGAUUUCUUAUGUUUCUUGAUUGUGGUGUUAUAACAGUAAGAUCGAAAUAAUAUUUUUUAACUUAAGAUAUUGUUUUUAAAAAAAUAAGUUACACUUUUAUCUUUUUUGAUUUAUUUUUAGGAUAAUAGUUGUAUGUAAAUAAAUAUAAACUUGUAGAUGUAUUUAUAAUUUGUAACUGGACAUGGGUUCGAUUCCCAUCAUCUCCACUA
rnacentral:tmRNA from 1 species